rnacentral:rRNA from 1 species
UACGAAGGGGGCUAGCGUUGCUCGGAAUUACUGGGCGUAAAGGGCGCGUAGGCGGAUGUCUUAGUCAGAGGUGAAAGCCCAGGGCUCAACCUUGGAACUGCCUUUGAUACUGGACAUCUUGAGUACGGGAGAGGUGAGUGGAACUCCGAGUGUAGAGGUGAAAUUCGUAGAUAUUCGGAAGAACACCAGUGGCGAAGGCGACUCACUGGCCCGUUACUGACGCUGAGGCGCGAAAGCGUGGGGAGCAAACAGG